rnacentral:rRNA from 1 species
GACGAACGCUGGCGGCGUGCUUAACACAUGCAAGUCGAACGGUGAAAGCGGAGCUUGCUCCGCUGGGUCAGUGGCGAACGGGUGAGUAACACGUGGGCAACCUGCCCCUCACUUCGGGAUAACUCCGGGAAACCGGGGCUAAUACCGGAUAUGACCUCCUUGGGCAUCCUUGGAGGUGGAAAGUCUUUCGGUGAGGGAUGGGCCCGCGGCCUAUCAGCUUGUUGGUGAGGUAGUGGCUCACCAAGGCGACGACGGGUAGCCGGCCGGCGAGGGCGACCGGCCAGGCGGGGCAUGAGACACGGCCAAGACUCCUACGGGAGGCAGCAGUGGGGAAUAUUGCGCAAUGGGCGAAAGCCUGACGCAGCAACGCCGCGUGGGGGAUGACGGCCUUCGGGUUGUAAACCGCUUUCAGCAGGGAAGAAGCCGCAAGGUGACGGUACCUGCAGAAGAAGCACCGGCUAACUACGUGCCAGCAGCCGCGGUAACAC